UUGUAUUCGUAAUUUUUUUUUUUAACACUAGAACUGCAUUAGCUAAUAUAAUGUUGUUACAGAGUUGAAAAGGGGUUGUUGUAUUCGUAAAUUUAUACUAAAAUAUACGUGCUAUAAUUAUUAUGAAACAUUUAUGAGUUAUUGUGGGUAAUUUCCCUAAAAAUAAAAUAUAGGUUAAAAAAAUUAGUAUCUUUAACAUUUUUAAAAAAUAUUUUAAUAGAGAGAAUCUAACGAUUAUGUGUGUCUUAAAAUUAUAUAUUAGGAAACCCUUUGUUCUUCGUCCUUCUUCUGCGCUCGAUUAGUCUUUUUCGUCUUUGGAUAUCGCUUUCGCAUCCGUCAGAGAAGAUACUUGCUAUGUUCGUGAAUAGGCGGAACCCGAAGAAGAAGAUCAAAGCUCUUCAAAAAGCAAUAGACCACUUUAACAAAGGGCUUGAGCGAGUACGACAAAUUGAGACUUAUCACCUGGAUCGGGCUGCCGAAGACCUUUAGGAUGCAAGCUUAUACGGGGAAAAAGACAAAUCAUAUUAUCUGCAAAGUAGGGAGUUUCACCUACAAGAUGCUAAGUACUAUACCGACUUUGGGCUGCGUUAUCUAGAAGAAAUUGCGAGCCUCCAAAGUCUCCAAGAUAGAGAGAUUGAAGCACUGCAGCAUGGAGCUUCCACCAAACAAAAGACGUGGCUGCAUUUUUGUCUCUUCUUUUAGUUUCAUGUUCUGUUUCUAUUUUCUCGCCCAAACAAUGAAUAAAUUAUGAAUAGGGGUUUCUAGGUUGAUUCAGAUUAAUCCUAGACAGGAAUUAGAUUUUUCCCAUUGUAGGAGUCAUCGUAAACGGUUCUCUCAUUUGAUGGAGUUCUGGUUAGUGUAAAUCUCGCAGUCUGAGAUUUUUCCCAAUUUUGCUCUCCUUGUUUUAUUCUUUUUGCCAAGGAGUCAAAAGCCACAGGCUAUUUUGUAAUAGCCAAACUUUUCAUUAAAUU